rnacentral:rRNA from 1 species
UGGAACUGCAUUUUUAACUAGCGGACUAGAGUGUGUCAGAGGGGAGUGGAAUUCCACGUGUAGCAGUGAAAUGCGUAGAGAUGUGGAGGAACACCGAUGGCGAAGGCAGCCCCCUGGGAUAACACUGACGCUCAGGCACGAAAGCGUGGGGAGCAAACAGG